UACGUAGGGUGCAAGCGUUAUCCGGAUUCACUGGGUUUAAAGGGUGCGUAGGUGGGCAGGUAAGUCAGUGGUGAAAUCUCCGGGCUUAACCCGGAAACUGCCGUUGAUACUAUUUGUCUUGAAUGUCGUGGAGGUGAGCGGAAUAUGUCAUGUAGCGGUGAAAUGCUUAGAUAUGACACAGAACACCGAUUGCGAAGGCAGCUGACGAAACUGUAACUGACGCUGAGGCUCGAAAGCGUGGGGAUCAAACAGG
rnacentral:rRNA from 1 species